rnacentral:sRNA from 1 species
GCUUAGGAUCUGGCGGCUUAGGAUCUGGCGGCUGAAGAUGGAAAGGCCCCGGCGGAAACGCCGGGGCCUUUUUCACGCUAGAAUCCACUCAUUUUGUGUCGUCAUCCCGGCCGGAAGCCCGCUU